ensembl:lncRNA
AUGUCCAGUGUCAAUGCAGUAAACAUAGCCACUGUGAGACGGCAUGUGGCUGAAAUUCAGACUGAACUUCCACAGCUAAAAGAGCAACUCACCACACAGAGUACAUCCUUGCAAACCAUUGGAAAGACAUUGAAAGGAACAGUGGUCAUUCUCAACACUCAUAGCGUGCUUUUGAACCAGAUCGUGAACUCCAUGAAACAGCUGUUCACUGUCUUCCAGAAUGACUUUGCCCAAACGCAGCUAGUCACAGCAUUAAUGACUGACAUGUUACAGGAAGUGAGUUCCUCCAUCGACAGUCUAGCCAUGGGAAGAAUUCCACCAUACCUGAUACCCUUAAGCCUGGUGCAAAAUGUGCUGGCUUCCGCCAUCACUACACCCACUGAUCCUAUGCAAAUACACCUUGCCUACUCACUGGGUAGUGCUAUUCCCCUCUAUGUGGACCCCGAGCAGAAGGAGAUGAGUUUCCUCCUGAACUUACCCAUCAUAGAGUCGAGCCGAAUCUACCGACUCAAAGACAUUGUUAAUGUGGGGUUCUGGAAGGAUAACACACAUAUCAAGAUACGUACCCCUGAGGUGGUGGCAUACCAUGACAGCAACACCCAGCUGUACUUAGCCCCGAACCUGCACAUGUGCACCCUGACUAAAGACAUCCACUACCUCUGCCCCAGCAAACCGUUUCUCAGAGACAAUACUGAUGGAAUCUGCGGGUUGCAACCCAUGAUCAGCGACACGUGUUGCCCUGCCGGCGCCCAGCCUCGCAGCCAAGUCACCGAGAUGCAAGCUGAGAUUGUAGGUGAUAGAUGGCUCGUUAACACUCCAGUACGUACCGCUACAUUGACCUACGACCAGCAUGACACCGCCACCCGUGUCAACCUGCUUGACCAGAGCAUGUGGAUUCAAGUCCCGCGAGGGGCCAUCCUCCACCUUGACGAUCUGGCCUUAUACCAUCUUCCAUUUUUUCCAUUGCAUUCUUACAUAGCUUUUCACAUGGAUUAUAAAAAUUAA